rnacentral:rRNA from 1 species
GACGAACGCUGGCGGCGUGCCUAAUACAUGCAAGUCGAGCGAAGUUUUUCUGGUGCUUGCACUAGAAAAACUUAGCGGCGACCGGGUGAGUAACACGUAAAGAACCUGCCUCAUAGACUGGGACAACUAUUGGAAACGAUAGCUACUACCGGAUAACAGCAUUAACUGCAUGGUUGAUGUUUAAAAGUUGGUUUUGCUAACACUAUGAGAUGGCUUUGCGGUGCAUUCGCUAGUUGGUGGGGUAAAGGCCUACCAAGGCGACGAUGCAUAGCCGAACUGAGUGGGUGAUCAGCCACACUGGGACUGAGACACGGCCCAGACUCCUACGGGAGGCAGCAGUAGGGAAUCUUCCGCAAUGGGCGAAAGCCUGACGGAGCAACGCCGCGUGAGUGAAGAAGGAUUUCGGUUCGUAAAGCUCGGUUGUUAGGGAAGAAUGAUUGUGUAGUAACGAUACACAGUAGAGACGGUACCUAACCAGAAAGCCACGGCUAACUACGUG